CAAGGCUAAAUACUCCUGACUGACCGAUAGUGAACCAGUACCGUGAGGGAAAGGCGAAAAGAACCCCGGCGAGGGGAGUGAAAAAGAACCUGAAACCGUGUACGUACAAGCAGUGGGAGCACCUUCGGGUGUGACUGCGUACCUUUUGUAUAAUGGGUCAGCGACUUAUAUUCUGUAGCAAGGUUAACCGUAUAGGGGAGCCGCAGGGAAACCGAGUCUUAACUGGGCGUUAAGUUGCAGGGUAUAGACCCGAAACCCGGUGAUCUAGCCAUGGGCAGGUUGAAGGUUGGGUAACACUAACUGGAGGACCGAACCGACUAAUGUUGAAAAAUUAGCGGAUGACUUGUGGCUGGGGGUGAAAGGCCAAUCAAACCGGGAGAUAGCUGGUUCUCCCCGAAAGCUAUUUAGGUAGCGCCUCGUGAACUCAUCUUCGGGGGUAGAGCACUGUUUCGGCUAGGGGGUCAUCCCGACUUACCAACCCGAUGCAAACUACGAAUACCGAAGAAUGUUAUCACGGGAGACACACGGCGGGUGCUAACGUCCGUCGUGAAGAGGGAAACAACCCAGACCGCCAGCUAAGGUCCCAAAGUCACAGUUAAGUGGGAAACGAUGUGGGAAGGCACAGACAGCCAGGAUGUUGGCUUAGAAGCAGCCAUCAUUUAAAGAAAGCGUAAUAGCUCACUGGUCGAGUCGGCCUGCGCGGAAGAUGUAACGGGGCUAAACUGUGCACCGAAGCUGCGGCAGCGACACUAUGUGUUGUUGGGUAGGGGAGCGUUCUGUAAGCCUGCGAAGGUGGCCUGUGAGGGUUGCUGGAGGUAUCAGAAGUGCGAAUGCUGACAUAAGUAACGAUAAUGCGGGUGAAAAGCCCGCACGCCGGAAGACCAAGGGUUCCUGUCCAACGUUAAUCGGGGCAGGGUGAGUCGACCCCUAAGGCGAGGCCGAAAGGCGUAGUCGAUGGGAAACAGGUUAAUAUUCCUGUACUUGGUGUUACUGCGAAGGGGGGACGGAGAAGGCUAUGUUAGCCGGGCGACGGUUGUCCCGGUUUAAGCAUGUAGGCGGAGGU
rnacentral:rRNA from 1 species